GAUGAACGCUGGCGGCGUGCCUAAUACAUGCAAGUCGAGCGAACAGACGAGGGCUUGCUCCUCUGACGUUAGCGGCGGACGGGUGAGUAACACGUGGAUAACCUACCUAUAAGACUGGGAUAACUUCGGGAAACCGGAGCUAAUACCGGAUAAUAUAUUGAACCGCAUGGUUCAAUAGUGAAAGACGGUUUUGCUGUCACUUAUAGAUGGAUCCGCGCCGCAUUAGCUAGUUGGUAAGGUAACGGCUUACCAAGGCAACGAUGCGUAGCCGACCUGAGAGGGUGAUCGGCCACACUGGAACUGAGACACGGUCCAGACUCCUACGGGAGGCAGCAGUAGGGAAUCUUCCGCAAUGGGCGAAAGCUUGACGGAGCAACGCCGCGUGAGUGAUGAAGGUCUUCGGAUCGUAAAACUCUGUUAUUAGGGAAGAACAAAUGUGUAAGUAACUAUGCACGUCUUGACGGUACCUAAUCAGAAAGCCACGGCUAACUACGUG
rnacentral:rRNA from 1 species